rnacentral:rRNA from 1 species
GAUGAACGCUGGCGGCGUGCCUAACACAUGCAAGUCGAGCGAAGCAUUUUAAAGGAAGUUUUCGGAUGGAAUUUGAAAUGACUGAGCGGCGGACGGGUGAGUAACGCGUGGGUAACCUGCCUCAUACAGGGGGAUAACAGUUAGAAAUGACUGCUAAUACCGCAUAAGCACACAGUACCGCAUGGUACAGUGUGAAAAACUCCGGUGGUAUGAGAUGGACCCGCGUCUGAUUAGCUGGUUGGCGGGGUAACGGCCCACCAAGGCGACGAUGGAUAGGGGUUCUGAGAGGAAGGUCCCCCACAUUGGUACUGAGACACGGACCAA